rnacentral:rRNA from 1 species
GACGAACGCUGGCGGCGUGCUUAACACAUGCAAGUCGAACGCUGAAGCUUGGUGCUUGCACUGGGUGGAUGAGUGGCGAACGGGUGAGUAAUACGUGAGUAACCUGCCCUUGACUCUGGGAUAAGCCUGGGAAACUGGGUCUAAUACUGGAUACGACAUGCCACUGCAUGGUGGUGUGUGGAAAGGGUUUUACUGGUUUUGGAUGGGCUCACGGCCUAUCAGCUUGUUGGUGGGGUAAUGGCCUACCAAGGCGACGACGGGUAGCCGGCCUGAGAGGGUGACCGGCCACACUGGGACUGAGACACGGCCCAGACUCCUACGGGAGGCAGCAGUGGGGAAUAUUGCACAAUGGGCGGAAGCCUGAUGCAGCGACGCCGCGUGAGGGAUGACGGCCUUCGGGUUGUAAACCUCUUUCAGCACGGAAGAAGCGAGAGGGACGGUACGUGCAGAAGAAGCGCCGGCUAACUACGU